AAAGAGCCAUUCUGCUGCCUGCGGAAAUGAGUUUCUGGUUGUGUAGCCGCAGCCCAGGCGGGAAGGCGACGAGGGCCUGCAGCUCUGGGCAGCCAAGGCAGGACUGCGAGGCAGUGCCCACUCACGGGGGCCUCUCCGCGAAGUACACAGCUCUGCAAACCCAAGGGGAGACGACGGAAGAAGGCUCGUCCCCAUGUCUGCUGCCGAGGCUUGGACGCAAGACUAAUGGCAUUUCGGGAUCCCAGGGAAACACAUGGAUGCCUCCACCUCUCUGCGUCAUCUUCUGAGGCUCAGCGAGGGGAAGGAUCAGCCCAAGGUUGUGCACAGACUGCAGAGGCGCUGAGACAGAACGGGGGCCCCUAACUCCCUGAGUGCGUCCUAGCACGCCCAGCCCCAGGGGCUGCCCACAGGAGCCUCCAGGUGCCAAUACCACCAUCUGCCAGAGGGCAGAACGGAGCCCACCACCCAGAGCCUCAGUCUGAUGGCCACAUCAGGACAGGUCUGCACGCCCCUGCACCCGACUGGCCCCCUGGACUCUGCCUGCCAGACCUCCCUCCCUGAGGACAGCGUGAGGUUAGCCAGGCAGCCUGUCCUGUGGUUGACGAAUCCAGGCUCUUUGUCUGCUUAGAAAGAUGGGCCUGAAACAGUAGAUCACAGCGUGCUGCAGGGGAUUAAGACAAGCAGCUUCCUGUUAGAGAGGCACCUUGCUCUCCCUGCUCCACUGCCCGAGUCUUCUCGGAACCCAGCCCCCACUCCGUCCACACUCCUACAGGCCCUUGGCAAUGACAGGAGGAGGAAAUAGAGAGAUGAGGAGCUGCUAUGCAGGUGGAGGGCCGAGGCAACCAGAGAAGCAGCGUGGGAUGGCGCACUAGGUGUGUGCCGGCCCCAGGGCCUUAGUACACACUGCUCCCUGUGCAGGAAUCUGCCCUCCCCGGAAGGAAUCACAGAAGGAAUCCACGGGGCUGGCUCCCUCCCUGCACUCAUGGCUCUGCCCAAAUGCCCUCCCUGGAGAGGCCUGGCCACCCUGCCUCAGAACUCUGCCACUCGGCCCCAGCUCACAGCACACAGAAUGACUUCACCAAGAAGGCCGCCCCUCACCACCCGGCCCCUGCUGAGAACGGCCCUCAGCAGACACUGUGGACCAAAGACAGAGGGCCACGACGCAGCACAGCCCUCAGGACCCGGGGAGCAAAGCCUGUUCCCGGCUUGUGCAUCACCAGCAGCGGUCACCUUGGUCACCUUCGGGCCCCAGAGUCCUCACAUGGAGGACCGAGUGAUCAUAAUGACAACCACGAGUCAGCCUGGACAGCGUCCCGCGGGAGCAAGUGACUCUGGUCUCUGACCCUGUGUUGGAGGCUUUCCCCUCGUGGCUGAGCGGACUGAGCAGAUCAGCCAUCCUGUGGGGGGGUGGGGAGGGCAGGACCCGGCCCACGGACUUCCUCUGGUUUUUGCCAAAACAACAAAACCAAAAAUCCAACGAAACCACCCUGUGGCCAGUGAGGGUGGCAGGCCCUGCCCUCUGGGCUCCUGUGGCUGGGCAGGGUGAGGCCAACGGCCCAUGAGCAGAAACCUGGCCCCGCUGUGAGCCGGGUUCCUAGACAGGCUGGAUCCUCAGAGGGACUUUUCGGGUGGGUGAACUUGGGCCUCUAUUAGCCACCAAGGGCUCAUUCCUGAGCAGAUACCCAUGGGGAACAGGGCGAUCUGUAUCUAGUACAACCCCCUUCUCAGCUCUGAGCCCUGGGGCUCUUCCCUGUCCCCCCAGAAGCCUGCAUGAGCUCACCAAAACAGGAUAGUCCCAGGUGUCCCCUGUUGAGACUCCAUCUUUUGGUGGAAGGGGACAAUCAGUUCAACACAGUUUUAGGCAAAGAAGUCAGGCAAUCCAAGAGCACAGCUUCUGGAGUCAAAGGGAGCUGAGUGCAAAUCCAAGCUCUGCUACUUACCUUCUGUGUGACCUCAGUGAAAUUCCUUAACCUUUCUGAGCCUCAGUGUCUUCAUCUGAAAAACAAAUGAAAUGUUCAGAAUUACCACCAGGAGAGACAGUUUCUACAAUGUGCUUGACUCAGACAUACAGACAGAGUAAAGGUUUUCUGCUAGUGAGGUGGCCUAGCCCUG
rnacentral:lncRNA from 1 species